rnacentral:lncRNA from 1 species
UGUUCAGUCGUGAAAUGGAGUAUUUCUAUACCAUGCCACCAGAAACGGUGCAGUUUAACAACACUUUGAAAAAGUAAGUUAUGUCAUUGAAUAGAUAGCUCUGCGAGUAAAUUUCUAAUGUCCGCGAGUAUCACCUGUCUAGUAGCCAGUAUUUCUUUUAAGGAAUCAAGAUACGGAUAUUGUAUUCUGACAUUGACAGUGUUUUGAAACUAUAUAGUAUUACGAAAUGUAAAGCUGCUCUUAUUUCUGGCUAUACAUAUACUUUUCUUCAUUUUUGGUUUGAUCGGUUAUUGAUAAGUUUCGGAUUUAAUCAGCUCCUCGGUUAUUGAUAAGUUUCGGAUUUAAUCAGCUCCUCGGUUAUUGAUAAGUUUCGGAUUUAAUCAGCUCCUCGGUUAUUGAUAAGUUUCGGAUUUAAUUAUAGUUGGGCCUCGAUCAUCACUAUAGAGAUAUGUGUAAUCGAUAUGCGAAUCUGAUGUUGGGAAUUGGUACCGUUUGUUUUUGCAAUUAUUUCCAUUGUUUAAAAGAGGAACGAAAGAUACCAGAGGGACAGUCAAACUCAUAAAUCGAAAAUAAACUGAAAACGCCAUGGCAAAAAAGGAAAAAGACAAACAGACAAACAAUAGUACACAUGACACAACAUAGAAAACUAAAGAAAAAGCAACACGAACCCAACUAGGGGUGAUCUCAGGUGCCCCGGAAGGGUAGGCAGAUCCUGCUCCACAUGUGCCACCCGUCGUGUUUAACUUUUAUUUAAAUUUAUGAUAUAUAAACGACAUCUAAAAGGUCUUUAAAAUGUAUUCGUUUUUUAAUUAACAGGAACAUAGAUUGAUGCCACAGACAAUGUUAAAAGUCGUGCAAAAACAAGAGAUAGACUGAUGUUAAAAGUCGUGCAAAAACAAAAACAAGAGAUAGACUAGAAACCGAUAUUGACUCAAUAGUAAAGUUAGGGUUGUGAUAUUUAAUGGUUACAGGAAACGGAAUAUCCAAAAAAACAAGAGAUAGAAUAGAAACAGAUAUUGACUCAAUGGAAAAGUAAGGGUUGUGACAUAUAAUGGUUAAAUCGGAAUAUCACUAUAUAACAAUUGUUAUGUCACGAAGCUUAGACAUAACGAUUGAACCAUUCUAAAAAAAUCCAUCUCUAUUCAAGGCAAAGACUCUAUUCCUAAAAAAACAUCUAUCUUUGGCCUUUCAACUGUUGUGAUUGGACCGCAAUUUUGUGAUUGGACCGCCACCUUUUGAUUGGAUCGCCACUGAUUAGUCUUCUGUAGACGAAAUGUGUCUGUCUGUUUGUUCGUUCUUUCAUGAAGCUCACCGAAUAGGAACAAUAGGACAAGUGAGCUGUGCAAAUUUUAUGGUUAUAGGAAACAGAAUAUCCCCAAAACAAGAGAUAAACUAGAAACCGAUAUUGACUCAAUAUUAAAGUUAGGAUUGUGACAUUAAAUGGUUAUAGGAAACGGAAUAUCACAAAACAAGAGAUAGAAUAGAAACAUAAUAUUAUAUGUUACAUGUAUCAUUACUCGUAACGAUCUAGCGCCCUCGUUGGAAAGUUUCUUUGGCUAAUAUCUAGACGUUUUAUACAUUAUGAAUUGUUUAAUGGUUUAAUGUGAGUGUAAAAUCAUGAUCAACUCUGAAAUUUUUAAAAAUAUACAGAGAGGGAAAGAACGUGUUUCGUUUAUCAUGCACUCCAGCAGCACCUGCAUACGGGGUAUAUAUCUCCCAAUUGAUACGAUAUUCCCGUGCUUGCAUUUCCUAUCAUGAUUUUCUUGAUAGAGGGUUGCUGCUCACAAGGAAGAUAUUAAACCAAGAG